rnacentral:rRNA from 1 species
AUUGAACGCUGGCGGCAUGCCUUACACAUGCAAGUCGAACGGUAACAGGUCUUCGGAUGCUGACGAGUGGCGAACGGGUGAGUAAUACAUCGGAACGUGCCCGAUCGUGGGGGAUAACGCAGCGAAAGCUGUGCUAAUACCGCAUACGAUCUACGGAUGAAAGCGGGGGAUCGCAAGACCUCGCGCGGACGGAGCGGCCGAUGGCAGAUUAGGUAGUUGGUGGGAUAAAAGCUUACCAAGCCGACGAUCUGUAGCUGGUCUGAGAGGACGACCAGCCACACUGGGACUGAGACACGGCCCAGACUCCUACGGGAGGCAGCAGUGGGGAAUUUUGGACAAUGGGGGAAACCCGUGAUCCAGCCAUGCCGCGUGCAGGAUGAAGGCCUUCGGUUGGUAACGUAGCUUUUGUACGGUAACGGAAAGGUACCGUUUACUUAAUAAAGUAAGGCGUCAUAGACGGUACCGUAACGAAGUAAGACACCGGACUAACUAACGUGCCAGCAGCCGCGUACGUAACG